rnacentral:lncRNA from 1 species
CCCGUGUCUCCUGCAUUGGCAGGUGGAUUCUUUACCAUUGAGUCACCAGGGAAGCCCCUGACCUUGUCCUUUUGUCUUUUUCUCUCCCUUCUUCUCAGGCCAAGGAUUUACCUACCACUCUUCUCUGAAUCAGAGGUCUUCUGCAUGGCUGGCAUUCACCAAAGACAAGGCAGCAGCUGGAGAUCAGGACUAGUUCCAAGAAUUAGAAAAAAAACACAAACAGAAAGACAGAAAACCCCCAAAACUUCAAGCCAUGUGGGUGAGUACAAUUUGCAGAAAAACAUUUCCAAAAUAAUGUAGCCAAUACAGGUCAUGUUUUAAACCUCAGAUAUCUGAGCAAAUAUCUAAAUAACACCUGUAAAGUUCUCCUGCUUGGUAACACCUU